AUGAGAAGACGCUGCAGGCUGAAUUGGAGAGGAGACGAGACAACUGUAAUCAAGACAUGUCAAACAUUGUCCAUCGAAAACCCAUUGGAAAGCAUCUCUGGUCUAUUGACGACAGCAGAGUCUCACAGACAGCCAUCGGCUCAGACUGAGGAUGACCAUCAGUCUCCACUAGACAUCUCCUCCCUCCAUGUUUCCCAGGAUGGCCAUGAGAAACACGGAGAGGGAAUUGAAGAGCAUCUAGAGAAGACCGUUGCUCACCCUCCAUCACAUGAAGACACACACUGUGACCUGUGGUCAUACCCAGAGGCAAUGGAUGGAAUACACGCUUCAGACCAGGAGGAGGGAAGUUUACUAGAGGAACAGAAGGAGUGUCUGAACACCUCCAGUACAGUGGGGAUGGAGGAGGUGAAGGAGAGGGGGAUUGAGGGAGGAGAAGAACAGCCUACACCCCUCAUUACUGAGGCGGAGGAGAAUGAAGGGAUGGGAGCAGCAUUCUCUCCUCAGACUCCUGCUAGAAUGAAAGCUGUGUCCAGCACCCCAACCUUUUCCCUGAACAGUAGCCACAGUGGGUCACCUAGUCAGCUAGACGGAUCCACAGUGAAAUCCCCAGGCUUCCUGUUCUCCAUGAGCUCAGCUCCUAGCCCCACCACCCCCGACUUCUCUGGCUUCCACUGUGGCUUUGAACUGGGCUCAGGCCAGGAGGAAGAGCCUCCUUUCCCCUUCAGCAGCUCAUAUUUCAGCAGUGAAAAGAAACCGUCAGGAUCCAGAUCGCCAUCAGGCUUCCUGUUUGCCCGGCCAGAGUCGGAGAAGUCAGAAGAUGGAUUUGAGUUCCCCUUCAGCUCUAAGAGUCCUGGUCAACCGUCAACCAGCAGAGAGAAGGGAUCAGGGGCUGGGGACUCCUUCCCUUUCUCCUUUAACUUCUAG
rnacentral:lncRNA from 13 species